rnacentral:RNase_MRP_RNA from 1 species
UCCUCGCUCAAAGAAUCGCAUUCAAAGCUUACACACAAAGGAAUUCUUCCUUUAAAACUCGCUUUGGGAGAAAGUCCCCGGACACCCUGCACUUUAAUUCUUAUGAUUAAAGUUAUUCAAGCCAGGCAAUGCGGAAACGCGCCGCCAUAGAAGCAAUUCGACAGCGGCUUACUGCCCUAUCCCACCCAGCUUGCAACCUCCCAUCAUCCGACGGUGUACCCUUCUAGGAGUAUAUUGGAUACAAUGGGGUGAUGGGGUUGUGUUGGAGUGGGGAAGAGGGAUUCGUCUCUCUUGUAUUGGGUUGCUUUUCGUCGUGGUUCAAUAGUCAUGCGAUUGCCUCGACACUUUUAUGGUGUGGAGGUAACUCAAUGGGGCUCAUUCUUGAGGCGAGG